CAAAGUGAGCUCUGGCCGGGGGAUGUAGUUCUGAGCAGAGUGAGAGAGUGCUUGACAGCAGUUACAUUUGGGUAGCCGCCCGCCACUUUGAAACCCCUCAGAGCUCUGCGUCAGCCAUUCUGCUCACCGCCCCCUCCCGUCCUGAGGAAGUGGUGGAUGUAGGCACGGUUACAACAUUUAUCUGGAUAACGACGCCAAUGGGAAAGGUUUGGGAGGGCUAUGGGCCAGGAGCAGGCAGCCAGGACUAGCUGAGCUUGGGAUAAUGGACAACACGGACUGGUAGGGCCGAAGGGUCUGUUUCCGUGCUGGCUGACUCCUGUGAGUGUCGUUGCAGGUGGUUCUCCAUUUCAUGGUGGGCUCCCCCAGCGCAGCAGUCAGUCAGGACCUGGCUCAGCUCCUCAUCCAGGCCGGAUUGAUGAAGAGUGAGGCAUCGGAGGCUCCCUGCAUCACCUCAGCCGGCUUCCAGUUCCUGCUGCUCGACACCUCCUCCCAGCUCUGGUACUUCAUGCUGCAGUACCUUCAGACCGCUGAGUCUCGCAACAUGGACCUGGUUGAGAUCCUGUCCUUUGUGUUCCAGCUCAGCUUCUCCACACUGGGCAAGGUGAGAGCGAGGGAGAGAGAA